AAGUUUGAUCCUGGCUCAGGACGAACGCUGGCGGCGUGCCUAAUACAUGCAAGUAGAACGCUGAAGGAGGAGCUUGCUUCUCCGGAUGAGUUGCGAACGGGUGAGUAACGCGUAGGUAACCUGCCUGGUAGCGGGGGAUAACUAUUGGAAACGAUAGCUAAUACCGCAUAAGAGUAGAUGUUGCAUGACAUUUGCUUAAAAGGUGCAAUUGCAUCACUACCAGAUGGACCUGCGUUGUAUUAGCUAGUUGGUGGGGUAACGGCUCACCAAGGCGACGAUACAUAGCCGACCUGAGAGGGUGAUCGGCCACACUGGGACUGAGACACGGCCCAGACUCCUACGGGAGGCAGCAGUAGGGAAUCUUCGGCAAUGGACGGAAGUCUGACCGAGCAACGCCGCGUGAGUGAAGAAGGUUUUCGGAUCGUAAAGCUCUGUUGUAAGAGAAGAACGAGUGUGAGAGUGGAAAGUUCACACUGUGACGGUAUCUU
rnacentral:rRNA from 1 species